rnacentral:rRNA from 1 species
CCCUUAGAUGUUCUGGGCCGCACGCGUGCUACACUGAGUAAUUCAAUGGGUAAGGGAACGCUAGAGCAUUACCUAAUCUUGAAAUUUGCUCGUGAUGGGGAUCGACGGUUGCAAUUUUCCGUCGUGAACGAGGAAUACCUUGUAGGCGCAUGUCAUCAUCAUGCGCCGUAUACGUCCCUGCCCUUUGUACACACCGCCCGUCGCUCCUACCGAUUGAGUGAUCCGGUGAGGCUCUGGGACCUGGACGGAAAGAGCGUUUCGCUUGUUCUGUUUGGGAAACUUGGUCGAACCUUAUCAUUUAGAGGAAGGAGAAGUCGUAACA